GGGUUGGCUCAGCGGUAGAGCUUAGGGCGUAAGACCAUAAGGUCCUAGGUUCGAAUCUCCCCAGAAAUUUA
rnacentral:tRNA from 1 species